AUUUUUCAUCAUAUGUGGCUACUAUAUGGUAUCUGAUCUGCAACAAGUUUAUAUUUUAAGUAAAUAAGAGGUAAGUAAAAAUAUACUGAGAUUUCAUGUCUUGGUGAAAGGAGAAUGAAUUCUCUUGACCAGUGUGAAAUAAAAAAAAACCUCCAAGACAGCAAAGAAAAUGUUUUAAAAAAACCAAAACCAAAACCAAAACCAAACAACCAAAAAAAAAAAAAAUCCAGGUGCCAAUUCUGUCCAUUAUUUACUAUUUUCUUCUAUCAGUGCAGCCACAAAAUUUCAAACCCCUUCUUUCUGGAGUCGAAAGAAACAAGCAAGAGAAGUAUAGGCUAUCUAAAGGUACUCCACAUUUCUCCCUGUAUUCAGGGAUCAACUACAAGGGCACAGUUGUUACACAUACUACAUGUUCUUCAUCUAACUGUCUGAGUUCUGGAGCAUCCAGGAACACAAUGAGAGUUUCGAUUUACCUGACUCCUGUGCAUAAGACGUCAUGUCAAUGUCUUUUUGCUAGUGGAUUAAACUACAUAUCAGGCAUAUUAGGCCACCUAGCAUUCAUUCACACAUGGGUGUGCAGGGUCCUACAGAUUUCCUGGGGGAACCUCCUAGUUGCUACAAGGGCACAUUUUUAAGCUGCAUGAUGAGUUUCAUCAGGUCUUCAAGAUGCAGAGAGUAGAUUCACUAAUUUUAGCUUAAUUUUUGUUCCCUUAUAGUCCCUCAUUUAAACAGUCUCCCAGUGUACUGGAUAUGAAGUAUCAGGUUCAGUUUUCCUCCACAGAUGAGGAGAAAUUUCAGGAUAAUAGAUAAAUCUAGAAUCAUGUUCCUAUAAAUCCAUAACAUACAAAUGGUAGUGUGAUCAAACCUGAGAUAUCUGAGGCUAUAUUUGAAGGCAUGUAUAACCAAGGACCUGUGGGAAAUGUGCAGAUUUCAAGAAACUCUGGGGCAUUUCAGAUGAUUGAAAAUGCCUUUGCAUAGCCUGAUCUGUUGGACCUCUUGUGUCUGGUCAGACAAUUUGCUUUCAGUGCUACAUGGGUUCUAUGAGUGGAGCUGUCAUAGACAAGAGCUUAGACACUUGGCUCAUAAAUGUUAAUUUUCAUUUUGAUGUCUUAAUUUAUGACUUAAACCUAUUGCCAGCGACUUCAGCUGAUGUCAGAUCUAAUCCCACUGCAGUGUAAGCACCAUACCUAGUCCUGAAAACAAGGAGUUAAGGAACAGUAAAUUUUUUGGUCAGCGAGAAGGACUGGUGGACAGGCAGCAAGGAUCCUCCUAGAGUUGUUUGUUUCUUUUUAUCAAAACUAGAAACAAAAGCAAGACUAAAACUCAUCAAAAGAGUAGGUGUUGCACAGGAAUAAUAGGGAGGUGCAGCCAAUAUAAGCAGAAUCACAAAAUCCUCUGGAAAGUAAUUAAAUGUUUCCUGCCAUAGUCUGCAGUUCUAAUUGAGGUCUGCUGGGGUAAAAGGGCUUUGCAAAAUUACUAUUUAUUCAGUAAUUCAGAAAGGUCCUUUUUAUUUACAGCCAUUUGGGUUUAUUGAGUAACUACAUAGAAUAUUUAUAGUAUCUGCAGUCUGUUCACUAUUCGUUUGGAAACAAAUAGAGCACAUCCACAGUUGGUAAGUUAAAACCCUGUAUUAUGUCAUCGUGAUCGAGGUAAGAGCCUUUUACACAGCACUUAGAGACACCCCCACAAAGAUCUGAAUCAUACUGUGUGUGGAGUUGUGGGCAGCUCUCCCUGUUGCCUCUCCCUCCUGAAUCAGAGGGGCUGCUCUACCACAGAAUAAGGAGGGUUUCUGUGGGGAAUCUAGCCAGGAAUCAAGCUAAAUCAGGUAGGCAUUUGACAUGCAAAAAUCAAGGAAAACACUUAGGAUCUUAAAGCUUUGCGACAUUAAUAAUGAAAGACUGAGUUUCAUUAAUUAGCAACAUUAAUGUAUCUUUGCAAAAUCAUUAAGGAAAAACUACAUCAAAGAGUGAAACCUCUCAUUUACACUGCUGUGUUGUAGUGGUUCUUGGAGAUUUAGAAAUCAAAGGUUAAUUCCACAGGCCACAUCAGAAUUAGUUUCAAGAGUGGUCUCUACAUGCCUCAAGACUAAGGAUCUGUUUAACAUGAUUUUCAACUUUUUCCAUAUUCCCAAAACAUUACUUUUCUUGCAAAAAACAGCUCAGAUAAUGGGAGUUUUUUCAGCUUUUUUUUUACACAAACGUCUUUAAUACAAACACCUAGCAGUCCAGGAACUACAUUAAUAAGAAGAUGACUUAAAGCAAGUCAUUAAUUAAAUUGAUUUUAAAUAAUAACUGUCUAGUGUAACUUAAAGCAUGUCGCUGGGUUUUCUUUUUCCUACUAUAUAAUCUCAAACCUCUAAAAUAUUUUCCAACAAAAUUACAGACUUGAUUCAGCUAAGUGAGAACCGAUUUACAUUUUUGGGCCGUUUAAUAGCCUUUAGUAUCUAGUAACGCAGAGACCUCCGGUUGAAAAUUCACAUCCAAAAGAAACAAUUUCCAAGGCUGAGAAACACAACAUAGGCUAAAAGCUUAAUAAAUUUGACUUGGUUGUCAGUGGUGGGCAGAGCUGAUCUGUGGAGGACUUGACACAUAAUUUAAUACUCUUUAAAGAUGAAAAAAGAAUGGUUCCCAAAAUAACUAAGGGAAAUAUCUCCACUAUUACCAAGAAGGGAACUAUCUUAAAGUUGGGCAUGAGGCUUUUAUCAUUCAUCUUCUCCCUUUCAACUACCUGUUCGGCUAGAUUAAUUCCUGACUGUCACUCAUUCCUGACAUUCCAGUAUUGAUGACUCAAAGUUAAUUUGAAACCUUGCUGUGCACUCAGUAGUAGGCUCUUUUAGACAAAGGUCUCGAUUCAUGACUUGUAUUCAAAAUACCACAAGACUGGUGUCACAUAUCCUGUCUUUGAUUGCAACUGACUCAGAUGAAAAUUUUUCUGUCUCUAGCUUAUGCCCAAGGCUGGUCAUUGCUCCUCACAUCCAAAUGGCAUAACUGUCUUGUGUAAUUGUUCCUUGGCAGAAUUAAUUAAAUACAACUAAGACUAAAAAAGAUCUACUACCUAAGAGAAGGUAGAUCAUGCCUAAUCAAUUACAUUAGAAAGCAGUUCCACCAGCACUUCUGCUGGAAAAUGUAGGUUCAGAGUCAGCUUGAGUAGCUCGAUGAAGAAUGAUUCCAGAAAAUCUCUACAAAGCUCUGGACACACACAGGUAACAAAUGUGGUAUGAAAUUACACAGAACAAUCUGCUUUUAGUCUCCUUCUUCAAGGGUAAGAAAAAGGAUAAUUGGAAUUUGGAUUCAUAGCAAGAAGAAUAAAAGCCUUCCAGGUGCCUUCCACACAGACUGGAGUCCCUCUGGUUUGUGGCAACUUGUCCUCCAACAAGGCACUUCUGCUUGAUGAUCGGAAGUGCAAAAGCAGGUAAAUAUCAUUAUAUACUGUUGGAACAUCUUCACAGUUUCCAAAUGUCUUGGAAGUGGACUUGGGUAAAGAUAAAAGUAAAAUUUCAACUUCAUUAAAUAAUUCAAACUUCAUUUAAAUUUCUUCAAGGAAAAGAAAGAAAAAACAGUUUUUAAUGCAAGAAAAGCUCAUCUUAGAGUACAGUCCAAGCCAUGGGUGACCAUUAAAGGUGGACCUCCUACUUUUCUAUUGGUUUUCAGUCAAAAAACUUUUGGUAUAGUAACAAAAUACAGCAAAUUUCAAUACACCACUUAAACUCAUGGAAAUUCUCUCUAAUGCUUCAGUUUCUGGACAUUACUAAUGACCAGUUUACUUCAUGAUGCCUCUGAUGCAACAAAAUCCUUGUUUGGUGGAGCACCUCUUGUGUAGUUCUGCCUCAUUUAGAUGCUAAAUACUAAAUAUCAGUCAGACUUUCAUGCUAUCUUCCAGGAUAAAAGUCUCAUUUUACCCUAAACCUCUAGAGGUGCCCUCAGUAAGGACCUAACAGACCAUUAUCAUUGAAGCAAAUUAGGUCAACUCAGCUUCUCACUUUUCAUUCACCAAUGAAAAAGCUGUCGACUCAGAUCUUCCAUCUACAUUGAAUAUUUCUCUUUUUCACUGUCCACCUUUUUAUGGGAGAGAUUGGGCUGUAAAUCAUGAUUUUUAUGAUUUGGUUCAGACCAGAGUGUACAUAAAGUUUCCAGAACAUUGUAAAACAAGUCUUGGCUCACAAAUGAGCACACUGGAUACAAAAGAGGUUUAUGGACAAGAGGAUGAUGCACUUUCAGCCUCAAUGGUUAGUGGUGCAGUUGGCAAAGAAGGAGUCGCAGCUCUUGUUUCCCUCUCUGGCAUCAAGUUAAAGACAGAGCUCAGAUCUUGAACCAGGCUCCAAGAGUAAAUGUAUAGUUGAUCAGAAGGGCUGUUCUUGCUGAGACCAGGCUGCAAAUCUGCAAGAUGUCACAGCUCUGAACUUCCCAGGCCAGGGGAAUUGGCACAUACAGGUAAUCAAUGUCAGAAAUCAAACCACAGCUGACAUGCAAAGAGUAGAUUUAUUUCAUUACCUCACUGACACUUUAUUUAUUCUGUGAUGGAACUGAAAUUUUACAGACCCCAAGGAACUAAGGUUGGGACUCUGCCAGCCCAAUUCAGCAAGUUUCAGCUUGCAGAGACAGUCUAUAUACUGUGAAUGAGAACCCAAAGUUUUGCAAGGAAGAAAGCUAAAAUAAAAAACCUUUGCAUUCUGCUUAGUGCUCCGUGUGCAAGUGUUAAUAUCUUCAUUAGUCAUAAUAUGUCACUUGAUCUUACUUCCGUUCAAAAACAAUUGCUUUGUUUCCUUAUCACAGGCAGCAAGAGAUGAGGGCUGGCAGAGACAGCUCUUUGUGUAAGAACGGGUAGCACAUACUGUUGAUGUUGUGCACGAUGGAGCUCUGCUGUCCUGGAGAUGGCUGAAAACAUGCCUGCCAUAGGAACUGGUGAAUGAAUUCCUCAAUUUUCUUUGCUUGUGUGUGUAGCUUUUACUUCACCUAAUAAACUCCCAUUAUCUCAACUCUUUAUCUCAAUCACUUUUGCUCUUCCAAUUCUCUCCCACAUCUCAAUGUGAGGAGAGUGAGCGAGAGGAUGUGUGGGGUUUAGGUGCCACUUGGGGUCAAACCACAACACAAUUGUAAAGAGAGGGAAACUGUUAUGCCACGGUCUGAGUUAGUCGUACACAUUUUCUAAAUCAGUCAGACAGAAACAUGCUGGCUUCAGAAAUCCUGCGGAGUUGGAUAGACAUAAGACUGUCUGUGUUUGAAGAAACUCCUGCAGAUCCUUAAACUGUGAGCAACAUCUCAUAAAUAGCUCAGGAUUUCUUGAAGAUCAAACCAUUUAGUAAGAAAUUAGAUGCCACAAUGAAGGCAGACUCCAGAUCCUACCAUGAUGACAACUGUGCAGUCUUGGGUGCUCACAAUCUGCUGUAUAGGGUGAGCAAGACUUGAAGACUGCAAGAGGAGAAUGCUGAUCCAUGCAGUGGUCCCUGAGCUCUUCUAGCACACAGCUGCCAUGCAGAGGCCAAGGGAUGGCCCUAAAGGCAUACCUUCAGCCAGUAGUAGCCAUGCUCUUACAGAAAUGAAUAUUGCCUGUGUUGGGGGAGCAUAAGCCUGAUCCAAGGAGCAUUUAUGUGAACUAAGCCAAUUUCCAUUUAUUUGAAAUGAAGGUGAUUGGAAAUUUACUUUGGAAUUAGGUGUAAAUAAAUAAAUAAAUAAAUAAAUAAAUUAAUAUAGUGUGCAGCAGUACUCUGCAAUGUGAUUAUAUAAGGCAAUGCUCCCAAGCCUCUAGGAUUUUGCUCAUGCCCCAAUUUUCCUUAGUAGCUAAAUCCAAACUCCCCUCUAGUCUUCUUGCUUCCUAUAUUUAGUGUCUUCAUUUGUUUGUUCAGACUUACAGAAAUAUAAUAAAAAUGCCUUGCUGGUGCUCUGUGCGUUUUGACGGUACAUUAAAAAUAAAACCUAACCAAAAUC